UAACGAGGAAGAAAAGUUAUUCAUUCUAGUCAGACCAGCAUAUGUUUUUUGUUCAUGAAUGUGCCUCCAUGAUUACUUAAACCAGAGUUACCUACCGUUUUAUUCUCUUUUUUUUUUUUGUUUACACAUUGAGUAUUUACUAUGUGUCCAAAGCUAGGGAUGAAUAUGUAAUCUCACUUUGCUCACAACCUACUGGAAUACCUUUAACAACCACUUUAUAGGAUUAUCUAAUACAUAAUCUAUUUCUAAUAAAGAAUAAAUAAAAGACUUUAUAAUGGAGUAGUUAAUUUUGCUGGCACAAACUAGGAAAAAUGUAAAGAAAAAAGAUAUUUCAGACGGGGGUAAUAGAAGUUGUACAAGUACGAGAACUCCAUUGAGUAAAUGUGGUUGUGUCUCCUAAUUAAUAACAGACAAUUUAAAAAAAAGAUACCAGAUAUUCCUUUAGGCCAGAUGAAGAAUAGUUUGAACACUCUGCAUUGUAGUGUAGUCCUACAGAGAAUUUUCUUCUAAUAGCAAUUGGUUCUGUGCUUUGGGUUAGUUUUCCAUUAGUGUUGACAGUUUGAUAUUUCUCUGUCCAUUCUUGCUGACCACAUUCCCUUUAUGAUAGUCUAUAGAAAUAUUAACUGGUUGGGCAAGAGGAAGAUGCCAUCUGCAGUCAUUAAACACAAGUUGCCUUCUUUGGGCAAGACCUCUCCCCACUCCUCAGCCUCUUCAGGGACACACAUUAUAAGUCUCCAUUUAAGACCAGAACAAUAUGGAGUCAUUUUAAUCUUGUUUCCUUUUCUUCUCAAAUCAAUUACUAGCACUUGUCCAUAGGAAAAACACCAUAGAGUUAGAUUGACCCCAGUAGAAAUCCUGGGUUGGCUACUUCUGACUAAUAAUGUUACUUAUUUCUCUCAGAUGAUUUCCUCAACCAGAGAGUGAAAUGGGAUUACUUCCUUACACAGUUGGCAUCAUGAUCCUAGGAAACUGCACAAACAAAAAGUGGCAGUUGGUGCACAAUUUUUAUGUUCGCAUUUCCCUUUACUUUUAUAGUAAUGCAUUUGUAAUUGAAGCAAUCCAUGUGAUAAACUAACCCUAUCCUAAAGCUAUUGCUACUACCCAUUAGAUUAAGACAUUCUUGGUGGCCCUUUAACACUUACCACAACUUCAGUAAUCUUAUGUUAAUUUGACCUCUGAAAUCCAGGGGGUAGUGACCUGACAACCAUAGUCUUAGGUCCCUGCGGACACCCAAUUUUUCAAUCAGGAACAUGAACUCUAAAUCAAGAGAUUAAGUCAACUUUAUGUUCCUCCACCGGGCUGCAGACAUGUGGCUUAUGUGAAAUAGAUGCUGAAUUCCUGUUAAAAAAUAACUUUUAUAUACCCAUCUUCCUUCUCCAACCCUAAGCAGGUGACAGCCUGUGGCUGGGAAUUGCUAUAAGGCACCAACUCUCUCCAAUACAAUGAACGUGUGAAAAAAAAUGAAGGAAGGUUGUGUUUAUUCUCAUCAGCACUUAUGCCAGCAGAUUACUCUCUCCUUUCUUCCCUACACUGUGUCUCUCCCCAUCUUCCCUUCUGUAUUUAAGAGGAAUGAAAGCAAGACUCUGCCGAUUUCUUUUGAGUUUGAUUAUUCUGACUGCUAGGCACCUGCUUUCUGCUUCUCCUUUUGGGUAGAAAGCAUUAAGCCUCUCUUCCAUUUGCUUUAAGAUGCUUUAACAGUCAUGUCAGUAGGAUGUAAUUAAAAAAGACAAGAACAGCAGGGAAAAUGCCAGACAAUUACUGGGAGACAGUGGGUAAAAACAAGGUAGAGACAAACUAGUUUGUAUCAAAAGGAAUUCUGAUUACCGCCAUAGUUAUUAUUGGUAUUUAACAUUUACUGAGCACCAACAUGGCGUUACACACUGUACAGAACAUAGAAUUAGACCCUUUUCUAGCCAGAAAGUAUAUUUAAAGAGCUGUGAGCUACUUCCAAAGCUGCUAGUCACAGACGAUAUUCUCUUGUGAGGAGGAUUGGAGGUUUGAGUUUUUAAAAGGAAAUAAAUGAGAUAAUAGAGUAAAAAAUGCUUUUAGUGAGCACCCAAUACAGAUUAGUUAUACUAAGGGGGAAGGGAGGCCAAUAAUUCACAACAGCAUUGGGUCUCCAAGUGGAGGUGCUGGCCUCCUUCUUAUAUAAAAAGCUGAAUUCUUCAAAAUGUGCCUUCCUUUCAUGAAAAUGCCCUGCAAAAUACUGUGCUAGUUUUUCCUGAGAAAAUGUUGAAUCCUCUUUCAAAGCGCUCAAACAAUGUUACCAAAUGUAAAUAUUUAACCCUAGAUAGGCCAGAUAAUUUUGGAAGUCUCUUGACUUGGCAAAAGUGUAUCUUUUUUUCUCUCUGUGGAUCCUAUACCUGGAAGAGUAUCUGGAAAAUAAUAGGUGGUGAUAGAAUGAGUUAGGAAUAAAUAAAUGAAAAUAUUUUUAAAUAAUCGAACUAAUCAAAAACUUGUGUUCUAAAUGUUCCACACGGAAAGCUAUUUAAAACACAUACACAUUUUAGCCAGCCAUACCAAGCCUCGACAGUGCCAUGAAAUGUGAUACAUGCAUGUGGGAGUGAUAUGACAUGUGAGAGCCAAGAAAUCUUCUUUCUGUUAUGUUUGCUAUUAACCCCACUCUUGUUUAAAUCUGGUUAGUUUGCAUUUAUCUGGUUACUUUGAGACAUGAACUCAUUCUUAUAAGUGUAUUUUCAGACAAAUAAAACUCUCUAAAGUCUUGAAACUAUUUUGGAUGGCUAUCUUUCCAAAAUAUGUAUACAUUGCCUUUCUUUCAGAGGCACAGCAUAUUCUGUUCAGUUUUGAUCUGCACAUUCUUGGAGAAAUGUUGGAAAAUUGGAGCAGAUUUAGAAAAUAACUUUCCACAAGCUUCACAGCCCAGGCCACAGAUCCUGAGCUUGUUACCUUCCCAGCCUGCAACUCUGAGACACUGAAAAUUCAAAAUUCCAAUCUGGUAUUCCAGGUGGUUUAUAGGAUGUUUGUCUAGAAUCUGCAAAAGAUAGGCUAGGCCUGUACUUGUCAACAUGAGCUAUCCUCAAAACAACAGAGAAGAAAAGAGUGUGAUUAUAAACUCCGUCAUUACAAGUGACCUUCUUUCUCUCCAUUUCCUUUAAGAGAGAGAGCAUAAGGAAAGGGCAGAGGGAAAAGGAGAGAAUCCCAAGCAGGCU